AUUGAACGCUGGCGGCAUGCUUUACACAUGCAAGUCGAACGGUAACAGCACUUCGGUGGCUGACGAGUGGCGAACGGGUGAGUAAUGUAUCGGAACGUGCCCAGUAUGGGGGAUAACUACUCGAAAGAGUGGCUAAUACCGCAUGAGAUCUCUGGAUGAAAGCGGGGGACCGUAAGGCCUCGCGCUACUGGAGCGGCCGAUAUCAGAUUAGGUUGUUGGUGGGGUAAAGGCCUACCAAGCCUGCGAUCUGUAGCUGGUCUGAGAGGACGACCAGCCACACUGGGACUGAGACACGGCCCAGACUCCUACGGGAGGCAGCAGUGGGGAAUUUUGGACAAUGGACGCAAGUCUGAUCCAGCAAUGCCGCGUGCAGGACGAAGGCCUUCGGGUUGUAAACUGCUUUUGUACGGAACGAAAAGCCUUCUUCUAAUACAGGAGGGUCAUGACGGUACCGUAAGAAUAAGCACCGGCUAACUACGUG
rnacentral:rRNA from 1 species